UUCCCCUCAUGUUCUCACAGUCUCACUUCACUCGGGACACAAGCUUCUCCCGCUUCUUCUUCUCGAGCGCAGGAUGGCGGCGCGGGAGCACUGAGACGCGGUGAUGAUGAUGAGACAAGAUGAGACAUGAGAGAGUGAGACGUCGCUGAGAUGGAGGUCGCCUUGGUCAGCUUUGAGAACGGAGGCGCCAACAAUGGAGAGCAGCUGGACCUGGUCCAGUCCGGACUGGUGGAGGACUUCAGCAAAGAACUAAACACACACAGCGGCAGCAGGGGGAGUCCUCCUCCUCCUCCUCAUCAUCAUCAUCAUCAUCGUCGUCAUCCUCCUCCUCCUCCUCCUCCUCCUCCUCAGGGAGCGUGGAGGAUCAACGACAUGAACAGCACGCUGAGCUGCAGCGAGAACGCCAUGGACGCGCUGUUGCGCGCGGACCACAGUCCACAUCUGUUCGACGACGAGCUGCUGGACUUGGACCUGGACUCGGACAGCAACGAGCGCGUGCUCAUCAACAUCGCCGGCCUGAGGUACGAGACCCAGCUGGGCACCCUGAACCAGUUCCCAGACACUCUGCUGGGGGACCCGGCCAAGAGAAUCAAGUACUUUGACCCCCUGCGCAACGAGUACUUCUUCGACCGGAACCGGCCCAGUUUCGACGGCAUCCUCUACUUCUACCAGUCCGGCGGCAAGAUCCGUCGGCCCGUCAACGUGUCCAUCGAUGUGUUUGCCGAUGAGAUCCGCUUCUACCAGCUGGGCGAGGAGGCCAUGGAGCGGUUCCGAGAGGACGAGGGCUUCAUCAAGGAGGAGGAGAAGCCGCUGCCCCAGAACGAGUUCCAGAAGCAGGUGUGGCUCAUCUUCGAGUACCCGGAAAGUUCCAGCCCGGCGCGCGGCAUCGCCAUCGUGUCCGUGAUCGUCAUCACCAUCUCCAUCAUCACCUUCUGCCUGGAGACGCUGCCGGAGUUCCGCGACGAGCGGGAGCUUCCGGCGAUGAGCCGGCCGGACAACGGCACGGCGGUUCGGCCCUCGCUCACCUUCAGCGACCCUUUCUUCAUCAUCGAGACCACCUGCGUCAUCUGGUUCACCUUUGAACUCUUCGUGCGCUUCUUUGCGUGCCCCAGCAAGUCCGAGUUCUCCAAGACCAUCAUGAACAUCAUCGACAUCAUGUCCAUCAUGCCCUACUUCAUCACGCUGGGAACCGAGCUGGCCGAGCAGGGCCAGGAGCACCAGAACGGCCAGCAGGCCAUGUCGCUGGCCAUCCUGCGCGUCAUCCGCCUGGUGCGCGUCUUCCGCAUCUUCAAGCUGUCCCGCCACUCCAAGGGUCUGCAGAUCCUGGGCCAGACCCUCAAGGCCAGCAUGCGCGAGCUGGGCCUGCUCAUCUUCUUCCUCUUCAUAGGGGUCAUCCUCUUCUCCAGCGCCGUCUACUUCGCCGAGGCCGACGAGCCCGAGUCGCACUUCUCCAGCAUCCCGGACGCCUUCUGGUGGGCCGUGGUUACCAUGACGACGGUGGGCUACGGCGACAUGAGGCCCGUGACGGUGGGCGGCAAGAUCGUGGGCUCGCUGUGCGCCAUCGCCGGCGUGCUGACCAUCGCGCUGCCAGUGCCGGUCAUCGUGUCCAACUUCAACUACUUCUACCACCGCGAGACCGACCAGGACCAGUCCUCCCUCAAGGAUGAGCCAGCCUCCCCCGAACUCAAACGAGACGAGUCGGAGCACAAGGACUCCGCGGGGGGGCCGGAGAAGAGCAACGUGAAGGCCAACAGCACUUUGGACCUGAAGAGUUCUCUGUACGCCUUCUGCCUCGACACGCGGGAAACAGACCUGUAGGGUCAGAGCGCCCCCUGCAGGACACCUGUCACCUGUACAUAUCUCCGCCGGAGCUCUCCGACCUGCCCGCGUGCACGGCGCCUCUCUCCUCUCUCAGAGUGGAUGACCUCUGACCCUUCACCUGCUGCACGUCCCUCCUGACACCCCCCGCCCCCCAUCCCCAAACCUGUGUGCCUUGCAGCAAAGAAGCGGUUCCUUCUAGGUGGGGGAGGGGUCGCUGUGAAGAAAGACAACAUGUCAAAGAAAUCAUCUUCCUCACUUCUAUUUUUCUACCUGGGGAGCCCCCCCCCCCUUAAGCCAUAUCCAUCUCCCGUGUCCUCGUGCUAGCUAGGGUUAGCUCCACGCCGACCGGGACUUGUGAGCAUGUUCUUCACGCAUGUUUGGACCGCGCCUGUCCCUUUAAGAACCUCCCCACCCCCACUAAACACUGCCAAACGUCUGCAAAAGCCAAAAGUGUGUGUCGUGUUUGUUCUUUCAAAUGU